rnacentral:rRNA from 1 species
AAAUGAUGGGUAAUACUGUAUAAUCCCCGCGGGGGAAAGAUUUAUCGCUAUUAGAUGAGCCUACGUUAGAUUAGCUAGUUGGUAAGGUAAUGGCUUACCAAGGCUAUGAUCUAUAGCUGGUCUGAGAGGACGAUCAGCCACACUGGAACUGAGAUACGGUCCAGACUCCUACGGGAGGCAGCAGUGGGGAAUAUUGGACAAUGGGCGAAAGCCUGAUCCAGCUAUGCCGCGUGAGUGAAGAAGGCCUUCGGGUUGUAAAACUCUUUCAAUAGGGAAGAUAAUGACGGUACCUAUAGAAGAAGUCCCGGCAAACUCUGUGCCAGCAGCCGCGGUAAUACGGAGGGGGCAAGCGUUGUUCGGAAUUAUUGGGCGUAAAGGGCACGUAGGUGGACUAGUAAGUUAAAAGUGAAAUACCAAAGCUUAACUUUGGAGCGGCUUUUAAUACUGCUAGACUAGAGGUCGAAAGAGGAUAGCGGAAUUCCUAGUGUAGAGGUGAAAUUCGUAGAUAUUAGGAGGAACACCAGUUGCGAAGGCGGCUAUCUGGUUCGAUACUGACACUGAGGUGCGAAAGCGUGGGGAGCAAACAGGAUUAGAUACCCUGGUAGUCCACGCUGUAAACGAUGAGUGCUAAAUGUGAGGAUUUUAUCUUUGUAUUGUAGCUAACGCGUUAAGCACUCCGCCUGGGGACUACGGUCGCAAGACUAAAACUCAAAGGAAUUGACGGGGACCCGCACAAGCGGUGGAGCAUGUGGUUUAAUUCGAUGCUACGCGAAAAACCUUACCACUUUUUGACAUGAAGGUCGUAUCCCUCCUAACAGGGGGAGUCAGUUCGGCUGGACCUUACACAGGUGCUGCAUGGUUGUCGUCAGCUCGUGUCGUGAGAUGUUGGGUUAAGUCCCGCAACGAGCGCAACCCUCAUUCUUAGUUACCAACAGGUAAUGCUGGGCACUCUAAGGAAACUGCCAGUGAUAAACUGGAGGAAGGUGGGGAUGAUGUCAAAUCAGCACGGCCCUUAUAAGGUGGGCUACACACGUGCUACAAUGGCAACUACAAUAGGUUGCGAGACCGCAAGGUUUAGCUAAUCCAUAAAAGUUGUCUCAGUUCGGAUUGUUCUCUGCAACUCGAGAGCAUGAAGUCGGAAUCGCUAGUAAUCGUGGAUCAUCACGCCACGGUGAAUACGUUCUCGGGUCUUGUACACACUGCCCGUCACGCCAUGGGAAUUGGCUUAACUCGAAGCUGGUGUGCUAACCGCAAAGGAAGCA